rnacentral:lncRNA from 1 species
CCAAAAGCUAGAGAGGGGACCGACGGGGAGAAUUUCCCUUCGCACACGCGCAAGGAAACAGCUGCGGUGGCUGCUGCGAUCCGGGGCGGCUCAUCCCAGCGCAGUGGGACUCAGGCUGCUGCCGCCGCUUGUCUCUUCCUCUCAGUCCAAGAGAACAA